UUCCUGUCCCGUAAGAUCCUUCGCCCCAAAGGAAAAAGAAGUCUCUUCGGAGAAGAAGUGAAAAUCUUCCAAAGAUCUUCUUAAAGAGGCAGAAGCAGAGCCAAGAAAAAAAGAAAGAAGAAGACAGUUUUUUUUUUUUAGAGAAGAAAACUUAUCUAUAUAAUUUUUGGUGGUGUACUCAUAAACAGAAAUGUCUUUAACAUGUGUGAAAAUGUCUGAGGAUGUUUGGUUAACUUGUCUCACGCAUGCAUUGUCUACUGAAACUGAAGAGAUCAUGGGUCUUCUUCUCGGUGAUAUUGAGUACUCAAAAGAUGGAAAUGUCACUGCAUUGAUAUGGGGAGCAUCACCACAAUCACGAUCAGAUCGGCGGAAGGACCGAGUUGAGACAAAUCCUGAACAAUUGGCAGCUGCAUCAGCUCAAGCUGAUAGAAUGACGGCAUCAACUGGCAGAACAACAAGAGUGAUUGGGUGGUACCAUUCACAUCCUCAUAUAACAGUUCUUCCUUCUCAUGUUGAUGUGCGGACUCAGGCAAUGUAUCAACUUCUAGAUUCUGGAUUUAUUGGACUAAUAUUUUCUUGUUUUAGUGAAGAUACAAACAAGGUGGGAAGAAUCCAAGUCAUUGCUUUUCAGUCAUCAGAUGGGAAGCAGAGUCAUGCAUCAGGACCUGUUGCUUUAUCUCCAGUGAAUAGAAGUUCAGUCAUCGAUCUUGAGUCAUCUUUAAGUUCUUCUGAAAAUCCAUUGGUGACAUUGGGAUCUGCAAAAGUAGAUAGUCCUCUGCAAGACACUGGUGAUUCCAGAUUGACUCUGGUAUCCAGUAAGGGUGGGGGACGGUCUGUUGACUUGGGAGGUUUCUUCGCUAAUGCUGAUGCCAACUAUUUAGGGAGAGAGCAAAGCGAAGGAAACUAUAAUGCUAGUAAUAUACAGAAUGCUGUUGUUGAUAUUGACCCCAUGGAUAUGUCAGAAAGCAUGCAAGAAGCCAUGCACCGCUCAAACAUGGACAUGAGUGGUGCAGAGUAUGUCAGGAAAGAAAUUCCUCUUCAUGUUUUGCCAACAUCAUCUCUUGUUAAUCUUGACUCACCAUUAAUGUCAUUUACGGAUUUGCAACGUGUACUAUAUGAAGAGGAGCGGGCAGCAUAUAACCAAGCCAUCUUGCAAAAUAUGAGAGACGGCAAAGUGCAUCCUCUUUCUUUUAUCCAUCACACCUCAACAUAUCAGGCGUCCAUGUGCAAGUUAAUUGAAUACUGUUUAAGUCCUGCCAUCAAUGCACUUCAGGAUCGAUUAAAAGAGAAUGAAAUUCGGGUACAGAAUGAAACUGAGUUGUUUGGUAUAGCAGUUAGCAAUGCUGACUGACGAAGCUAAGACUUUGGAGACUGAAGCCGUCAGGGGGAGUGGGCCAAGUUCUCCUCAUCAUGCUUCAUCUCAUGGAUUCCGAGGAAGUGCUUUGGUUGGUCAGAGAGAGUUGCACAAUUCAGCUGAGUCCAUCAGUAUGAGGACAUAUGCUGGUCCUGGGAGCCGAAGCAGAAAACGAUCAUGACAAAAUUUCCAGACCAAACUUCUUCUCCAUGCAUUUGUUUGAAUGUGUUUUUGGGUUUAUCGGAGGAACUUCUGCAACUUGGUUCUCGGCAUCCGAGUUAAAGCAGGUCUAGUCUAGAGGCAGCUUGUUAAGAGAGCUUCUUAGUGAUUGUUGUUGUCUUCCUGGUAUUUCCGAAAGGAGAUCCCCGAAGUGAAACUAGAAUGAUUGGGGACGAGAUGGGUCAUGGAAGAAACAAUGCUGGUGUACAUAAUCUUGUUUCCAUUUCCAUCAUGUUUCCUUGGGGCCCUGCAGUACUUUUGUUGAUUGGGGCAUUUUGCAUUAAGUAACGGUGAACCCCUUUGUAUGCACAUUUUUCUCGCGUUAAAUGUAAGUAAUUAUUCAUGGAUCUCUACUCUUUA